GCCUCGGUAGCUCAGCUCGGCAGAGCGAGUGACUUGUAAUCACUAGGUCGGGGGUUCAAAUCCCCCCCGAGGCU
rnacentral:tRNA from 2 species